UACGGGGGGAGCAAGCGUUGUUCGGAUUUACUGGGCGUAAAGGGCGCGUAGGCGGUCAGCACAAGUCAGUUGUGAAAUCUCCGGGCUUAACUCGGAACGGUCAACUGAUACUGCGCGGCUAGAGUGCAGAAGGGGCAAUCGGAAUUCUCGGUGUAGCGGUGAAAUGCGUAGAUAUCGAGAGGAACACCUGAGGUGAAGACGGGUUGCUGGGCCGACACUGACGCUGACAGCGCGAAAGCCAGGGGAGCAAACGGG
rnacentral:rRNA from 1 species